CUCUAUUGACACAUCAAAAUAAAUGAUUUCCUAAAUUCCACUUCUGAAUUGCAUAACUCCUACAGAGUGUAAUGGGGCACCAGGCUGUCCUGUUGUUAUUAACAGAAUGUCCCUAAGUCACCUGGUUUAGAAACAGUCUCUCAGAAAAACAAAAAACAAAACCCACAGUCCAGACACGGAGUGGCUACAGGUCACGUUGCUUUAGUGGCUCUGUGACGUCAUUCCGACCUUCUGUCGUCAUGACUACAGGGUAUACAUGGUUGGCAGUCAUCAUCAGGCACCGCAUCCAGACAAGGUUAUGUUCACUAAGGCUCUGCUGCUUUGAGGAGACCCUUUCAAGAAAUGACCUUUUCGAACUCUCUGGACUUGGGUCCAAGGUUCUGAGAAAGGCUCACCCCCACAAUGAAAACUUCCCGGGAGCUGCGUCCCAUCAUCUAAGGAGGAAUGCACUCUGACGACAUACGAAAGCCAAGGAGGGAGUGGCAGAAGGCACUGGGUGAAGUCUGCCACAGUCCGCUGUGUGUGCGCUCACUUCCGAGGGACAGGAGAACAGAGCACGGCGGUAACCACAGCACGUACCGUGCUACCCAGCCAUUGAGUUCUACACACGCAGGAUAGAAUCCUGUGACAAUGACCCAAUGCAUUUGAAAACCCAAGGAAGAAUAUGAGAAAAAGCAUAGUUCAUAACUUCAGUGACAGUGCAUAUGAACAUAAUGACAGGAUGAGGACCUUCCUUAGAACGGGUCUCGCUGUCCUGACUGUUCUGGAACUUGCUGUGUAUGGAACCAUAUGACCUAG
rnacentral:lncRNA from 1 species